rnacentral:rRNA from 1 species
ACGAACGCUGGCGGCGUGCUUAACACAUGCAAGUCGAACGGUGAACGAGGGAGCUUGCUCCCUCCGGAUCAGUGGCGAACGGGUGAGUAACACGUGAGCAAUCUGCCCCGAACUCUGGGAUAAGCGUUGGAAACGACGUCUAAUACCGGAUACGACGCGGGAGGGCAUCCUCUCCGCGUGGAAAGAACUUCGGUUCGGGAUGGGCUCGCGGCCUAUCAGCUUGUUGGUGAGGUAACGGCUCACCAAGGCGACGACGGGUAGCCGGCCUGAGAGGGUGACCGGCCACACUGGGACUGAGACACGGCCCAGACUCCUACGGGAGGCAGCAGUGGGGAAUAUUGCACAAUGGGCGCAAGCCUGAUGCAGCAACGCCGCGUGAGGGACGACGGCCUUCGGGUUGUAAACCUCUUUUAGCAGGGAAGAAGCGAAAGUGACGGUACCUGCAGAAAAAGCACCGGCUAACUACGUG